rnacentral:rRNA from 1 species
AAGCGGUGGAGCAUGUGGUUCAAUUCGACGCAACGCGCAGAACCUUACCAGCCCUUGACAUGGGACUCGCCGGGAGCAGAGACGCUCCCUUCCGGUUCGGCCGGAGUCCGCACAGGUGCUGCAUGGCUGUCGUCAGCUCGUGUCGUGAGAUGUUGGGUUAAGUCCCGCAACGAGCGCAACCCUCGUCUCCAGUUGCCAUCAGGUUAAGCUGGGCACUUUGGAGAAACUGCCGGUGACAAGCCGGAGGAAGGUGGGGAUGACGUCAAGUCCUCAUGGCCCUUACGGGCUGGGCUACACACGUGCUACAAUGGCGGUGACAAUGGGAAGCAAUGGCGCGAGCCGGAGCCGAUCCUUAAAAACCGUCUCAGUUCGGAUUGCACUCUGCAACUCGAGUGCAUGAAGGUGGAAUCGCUAGUAAUCGAGGAUCAGCAUGCCUCGGUGAAUACGUUCCCGGGCCUU